GACGAAGGGCGCAAGCGUUGCUCGGAAUUACUGGGCGUAAAGGGCGCGUAGGCUGGUUUGUAAGUCAUCUGUGAAAUCCCCGGGCUUAACCUGGGACGUGCAGCUGAAACUGCAGAUCUUGAAUGCUUGAGAGGGUGGUGGAAUUCCCGGAGUAGAAGUGAAAUUCGUAGAUAUCUGGAGGAACGCCUGAGGCGAAGGCGGCCACCUGGCAAGACAUUGACGCUGAGGCGAGAAAGUGCGGGGAGCAAACAGG
rnacentral:rRNA from 1 species